rnacentral:tRNA from 1 species
UGCUCCGUAGUGUAAUGGCAGCAUGGCUGACUUUGACUCAGCGGGUUCAGGUUCGAGUCCUGGCGGAGCAGCAA